rnacentral:rRNA from 1 species
UACGGGGGGGGUAAGCGUUGUUCGGAAUUACUGGGCGUAAAGGGCUCGUAGGCGGCCAACUAAGUCAUACGUGAAAUCCCUCAGCUUAACUGGGGAACUGCGUGUGAUACUGGAUGGCUUGGAUUUGGGAGAGGGAUGCGGAAUUCCAGGUGUAGCGGUGAAAUGCGUAGAUAUCUGGAGGAACACCAGAGGCGAAGGCGGCAACCUGGCUCGUAACUGACGCUCAUACACGACAGCAUGGGGAGCGAACGGG